GAUGAACGCUAGCGGCAGGCUUAAUACAUGCAAGUCGAGGGACAGCACAGGUAGCAAUACUGGGUGGUAACCGGCAAACGGGUGCGGAACACGUACACAACCUUCCUUUAAGUGGGGGAUAGCCCAGAGAAAUUUGGAUUAAUACCCCGUAAUAUAGUUGAAUGGCAUCAUUUGAUUAUUAUAGCUACGGCGCUUAAUGGUGGGUGUGCGGCUGAUUAGAUAGUUGGCGGGGUAACGGCCCACCAAGCCUACGAUCAGUAGCUGAUGUGAGAGCAUGACCAGCCACACGGGCACUGAGACACGGGCCCGACUCCUACGGGAGGCAGCAGUAAGGAAUAUUGGUCAAUGGACGCAAGUCUGAACCAGCCAUGCCGCGUGAAGGAUUAAGGUCCUCUGGAUUGUAAACUUCUUUUAUUUGGGACGAAAAAGGGCCUUUCUAGGUCAACUGACGGUACCAGAUGAAUAAGCACCGGCUAACUCCGUGCCAGCAGCCGCAGUAAUAC
rnacentral:rRNA from 1 species